rnacentral:lncRNA from 1 species
CAUAAAUGGGGUAAAAGGAAUACUGAUUUUCUGAAAGUGUCCUACCCAUUAUUCCAACCUCUCUUAAUUUGAAGCUUUAAUUAAAGCUAAUGAAUAAGUGGUGUGCCAAGCAUGUUGUCUUACACCACAGGUUUGUGAAGCCCUCCAUGCAGGCUGAGGGUGGCUGCUUGUUCUACCAGGGUUUUCAGCUUGGUCCACAUGUCACAAUAAAGAUGUAAACUUUGUGCUAAAAUACUUUGCCAUCUCUGCUGCAAGACCUUUCCACAGGAGGAAAUUAUGACUACGUUCUCUGAAGUCAGCAGAGUCAACAGGUAGGAGGGCAGAGAAUUGUUUUCUGGACUGCUUUCUGCAUUUGUAUGGCAUCAUGGUAGGCUGUUUGGAUUAGAGCAACAUACCUGCCAAUAUGAGUGUGUGAUGUGUUGCACUUAUACAACCGUACUUCAGGUUGCAGAAUGCCACCUGGCUUGUGCCUCUAAGGCCCUUGGACAAAUCACGGUAUCCAAUAGCAAGCACGCUUAGAAUUGCCCUUAUUAGCUCUAUUGCUCUGGUCUUCAGAUAUUGCUGAGCAUGUUAAUACUCAAAAUCAGUUCAUAUCACAAGUCUGAUUGAUAGAUUAAAAGAAAAAAGAUUUUGUUCUCCAUGUAAUGUCUAGGGCAUUAACGUUGCCCAGAGGGGAAAUACGUUUUGAUUUCUGACAAACUGAAGAAGAAAGCCAGCUGUAAUUGCUCAAUGCCUUAACCAAAUCCAUCUCUUAGGUUUCCUGUGCCAAAAUAUAUAUUUGUAUGUUGGAACUUGAGCUUUCUUGCACGUUAAAAAUUUAUCAGGGAUUCAUUCACCAACAUAUGGGCAUGAUUUCUCUACAGAAUAAGGAUUAAAUAUGUUGCAAGCUCUAAGAAGGAAAAUAUUCCCUACAUCAUGUAACACCUUCUUAAUUUGUGUCAGCUGGAACAACAAACCAGCGUGUCUACAGCUCAUCUUUGUGCAAGUUUUAUAUUCCUCAUGGAAUUUUUGCAUGUUUAGGUCAUGCAUUUCAUUAUUUCUCAGCAUUUUAGCUUAUUUCUGCCUGCUCUGCUUAUGCAAGACCUGUGUCACAUAUCAGAGGUGUGGAACUGAAAGCAUCUCUUUUUUAGAUAUAACUACAGGAUUCCCAUAA